rnacentral:lncRNA from 1 species
GCCCUUUAUUUAUAGUAUCAGUUUCUUCCUGUUAAAACAUGUACUUUCAUUCUGUCUAACUCUACCUUUCUAUCUAAAUAUCUGUGUUGUCUCUUUUUUAUCUGCUUUUAAAAACACAGGAUGUUCAUUGUUUGUCAACAGUUUUAGUACAUGAUGUGCUCUCUGUUCUAAAGAUGCCAUUUUAGUAUUCUAUCUACCUCUAAUAAUCAGACAAUAGCUGACAUGUAAUAAUGAAGUCUGCGUAAAAAUG